AGGAGCCGGAUGAGGUGAAAGUCUCACGUCCGGUUCUGAAGACGAGUCAGAGGGGUGACUCUCUGGCUUAGUUUAAC
rfam:Cyanothece sp. PCC 7424, complete genome.